rnacentral:rRNA from 1 species
CCCUUAGAUGUUCUGGGCCGCACGCGUGCUACACUGAGUAAAUCAAUGGGUAAGGGAACACGAAAGUGCAACCUAAUCUUCAAAUUUGCUCGUGAUGGGGAUCGACGGUUGCAAUUUUCCGUCGUGAACGAGGAAUACCUUGUAGGCGCGUGUCAUCAUCACGCGCCGAAUACGUCCCUGCCCUUUGUACACACCGCCCGUCGCUCCUACCGAUUGAGUGAUCCGGUGAGGCUCUGGGACCUGGACGGAAAGAGCGUUUCGCUUGUUCUGUUUGGGAAACUUGGUCGAACCUUAUCAUUUAGCGGAAGGAGAAGUCGUAACA